AAGUCGAACGAUUGCGUGCACAAAACCGCAAGGUUGUGUAUGAGGAAAGUCCGAGCUCCGUAGGGCAGGAUGCUGGGUAAUACCCAGUGGAGGUGACUCCAAGGAAAGUGCAACAGAGAUAUACCGCUUAACACUUUAUUAAGUGUUAGGUAAGGGUGGAAAGGUGAGGUAAGAGCUCACCAGCAAUUAGGCGACUAAUUGGCUAUGUAAACCCCAUCCGGAGCAAGACCAAGUAGGGACGAAAAAAGGCGGUGGCCCGUCGCGAUCCCGUGGUAGGUCGCUUGAACCUAUUGGCAACAAUGGGUCUAGAUAGAUGAUCGUUUUACAACAGAACUCGGCUUAUAGAUUUGCUCGU
rnacentral:RNase_P_RNA from 1 species